GAGCAGUUCAGCCCCAGAGCAGCAGUACUGGGCCUGUUUGGAGAGCUGUCUUCCUAGUCCAUCAGUAAUGACUUUGAUAACUGUUGGUUUUGAUUAGCAAGAUAGUUCUUUUGAAACUGUCCAGGCUUGAACACGUUAGCUUAUUUUAUGACUUUUGAUAACAGUAAGCUAUUAAAUGUUGUAAAUACAUGCUUUAGUUUUGAUACUGUGAUGUUUUUUCAAAUGAGUAAACUCACAUCAGGAAGAGAACCCUUUGCUGCAGCUUGGCAUAUUGGCUGUAUGAGGGUAGUGUGAGCUGCAAUAACAAAAGGGCCCUGCAGAUAUUCGUGGCUCAACUCUUAAAGUAAGACAGAGAAAUUUAGUAGUUUGUCGGCUAGGAAAUUAAAGGGUCAGUCUUCCUGUUCAGGCAGUUGGGCUCCAGAACACCUGUUCUUCACCUCUCUGCUCUAUUUCCAUCCAACAUGCCAAGACAACUCUGAAAUAUUAUUUCUUUCCCCCACUUUCUCAUACAUGGGAGGGUCAUCUCCCAUGUUGCUGUGCAUGCUGCAGUGUGCAUCUAACUGGAGACACGGAAGUAGUGGAUACAUCAGACCAGAUAACACAUUAUAAGUUGCUGUAAAACUAGCUUGCCUGGGAGUUCCUGUUGUGACUCAGAGCUGAGCUGCCUCAGGAGGCAGUGGAAGUGUUGAGAGACAGGGAUGGAGGCCACUUGACAGUAACAUCCAAAGAAAAUUCAAGAGCCGAGUCAGAGAAUGGACUAGUGUUCCUGAAAGUCGAAUCACGACCUGGGGAGAUAAAUGCCUGCUGUCUGUCACUCCAGAAAGAUUGAUGGCAUCUGAUCCCCUCCCUGCCCAACGCCUCUUGCCUCACUAGUGACUGACAUCUUCAGCAAAUCACGGGAAGUUCCUUUCUUACAGGAUCAUGGGGGCUAAGACACCUUUUGACAAAAUAAACCAAAUUGUUGCCAUGAAAUCAACAAACCAUUUUCCAAGCUUUGGACAACAUCCUAACUUAGGCAAAGGAACUCUGGAGAUGUUGACGAACCUGGGAAAACAGAUGUCUCCAGCCGACUGGUCAUCAAUGGGAGUCAAGCGGAAGCUUGGGAAAUUCAGGCCCUGUGGUCAGCCCAGUGUGGACUGAGAGUUCCCGAUGCAUGUGUGGGGUUCUUCAGUUCCCCCAGAGGUACCCUCAAUGCCCCAAACAAGUAAACAUCUCACCUCAUCCCCUGCCACCCCACCUCCAGUUCUAAGGAGGAGGCUGUUUUGAAGUGGUUCAGUCAAGGUAGGAUACACAUAAAUAUAUAUAUAUAUAUUUUUCUUUUUUGGCUUCCCCACAACAUAUGAAGUUCCCAGCCAGAUAUCAGAUCUGAACCAUAGUUGUGACCUAAGUCGCAGCUUUGGCAAUGCCAGAUUCUUAACCCACCGUGCUGGGCCAGGGAUUGAACCAUCAUCGCAGCACUCCCAAGAUGCCACCGAUCCCAUUGUGCCACAGCAGAAACUCCAAGGCAGGACAUAUAUUUUUAACUAAAAAAAAAAAAAAUCCUGGUGAGUGUUGUAUUCUAUUCUGCACUAUAUCUGCACUUUGGCUUCAGGACAAAAAAAAAAAAAAAAAAAAAGAGCUUUUCUCACCAGAUUUUUGAUGAAAAUUGAUGCUCCUGUGCAGAUGGUGUAUAUGUCCCCUAAGACCUGGGAAUAGGCAGGUGUGCAGAGCUGAUGCAGAGCAGCUGGAGGGAUGAAAAGAAAGCAUUUGAAUUUUCAUCGGAUCUGAGUUGCCUCACAGAAGGGGCUCAAGAACUCUUUGGCUUCCCUUGAGGCCACCAGCCUCAGAUGCUUCUGUUCUGAUGUCCAGUUUCCAGAGGACAGUGUUUGUGAAGCUCCUGCCCUGCCCCCACCCUCUGGGUGCAGUAGACCCUCCUUCCUCAGACAUAGCGAGUGGUUCUGGGACCAUCUGGCUCACCAGUAGGGAACUCAGCCUACCUGGCUAUGGGUUGGCUUUGUCCUUCUUACUUUACCUGGGAGUCUUAGAGCAGAGCUCAUGAAACUGGAGGACACCCCGUCUGUCCACAAGCCAAUACCACUGAACAUUGAAAGCUAGACAUAGCAUUCCCGAGGUCAGUUUGUCAAGGAAACCUAAAUGGCCA
ensembl:lncRNA